rnacentral:rRNA from 1 species
UACGUAGGUGGCAAGCGUUGUUCGGAAUUAUUGGGCGUAAAGCGCGCGCAGGCGGUCCUUUAAGUCUGAUGUGAAAGCCCACGGCUCAACCGUGGAGGGUCAUUGGAAACUGGGGGACUUGAGUACAGAAGAGGAGAGUGGAAUUCCACGUGUAGCGGUGAAAUGCGUAGAGAUGUGGAGGAACACCAGUGGCGAAGGCGACUCUUUGGGCUGUAACUGACGCUGAGGCGCGAAAGCGUGGGGAGCAAACAGG